rnacentral:tRNA from 1 species
UCCCCGAUAGCUCAAUUGGCAGAGCGAGUGGCUGUUAACCACUAGGUCGUAGGUUCGAGUCCUACUCGGGGAG